AGUGAGUAGCUUGCUAUGAGCUGUUUAGCGGCGGACGGGUGAGUAACGCGUGAGCAAUCUGUCCCAGACAGGGGGAUAACAGAUGGAAACAUCUGCUAAUACCGCAUAAGACCACGAGGUCACAUGAUCUUGGGUAAAGAAUUAUCGGUUGGGUGGGCUCGCGUCCGAUUAGGUAGUUGGUGAGGUAACGGCCCACCAAGGCGACGAUCAGUAGCCGGACUGAGAGGUUGAACGGCCACAUUGGGACUGAGAUACGGCCCAGACUCC
rnacentral:rRNA from 1 species